CCACGCCCGCUCAAGAAACUUAAAGGAAUUGACGGACCCCGCACAAGCGGUGGAUCAUGUUGUUUAAUUCGAUGAUACGCGAAGAACCUUACCAGGUCUUGACAUCCCCCGCGAUGCUUUAGAGAUAAAGCGGAGGUAUUCGGGGAGACAGGUGGUGCAUGGUUGUCGUCAGCUCGUGUCGUGAGAUGUUGGGUUAAGUCCCGCAACGAGCGCAACCCCUAUUGCUAGUUACCAUCAUUAAGUUGGGGACUCUAGCGAGACUGCCAGUGAUAAACUGGAGGAAGGUGGGGAUGACGUCAAAUCAUCAUGCCCCUUAUGACCUGGGCUACAAACGUGAUACAAUGGCUGGAACAAGGGAUGCGAAGCAGUGAUGUGGAGCGAAACCCAUAAAAACAGUCUCAGUUCGGAUUGAAGUCUGCAACUCAACUUCAUGAAGUCGGAAUCGCUAGUAAUCGCGGAUCAGAACGCCGCGGUGAAUACGUUCUCGGGGUUU
rnacentral:rRNA from 1 species